CUGUCUUUCGAAAUGUCUCAAAAACAAUACCUGAGGGAGGGCAUACUCCAGUUCAUCUGUUACCAUUUAUGGGGCCCCGCUGCGGACCCACCCCGCCCCCUGCACGCAGCUGUGGGCAGCCAGCUGGGAGGGGGCCAUGUGCUGCGGCUCCGCAAGGCCGGAGGCUGGAUCGAAAAGAGAGGCACUGUUUCUGGAGGAUUCUUGAGCCGAUCGGUUUCCCCGGGGGACAUCAGCUGCCACAUUAUUGCGUGGCACACGGAGAGAGCCAUGUGGCAAAGAAAGCCCUUGAUCGGCAGCCACCUGCCUGGGCCACAGCGGAUGGGAGGCCCUUAGUUUCACAUGACCACAACCCAAGCCAACAUCGCUAUGGUAACCUCCCGAGAGACCGGUGUACCUGAACCGACUGGCUAAGCCACUCCCAGAUUCCUGACCGGGAGAUACCGCAGAGUAAUAAUUUCUGUUGUCUGACGCUGCUAAGCUUGGGGCUAAACUGUGACAUAGCAAUAGAUGGUUACUACAUUUUG